UACAGAGGGGGCAAGCGUUGUUCGGAAUUACUGGGCGUAAAGGGCGCGUAGGCGGCCUUCUAAGUCGAACGUGAAAUCCCCGGGCUCAACCCGGGAACUGCGUCCGAUACUGGAAGGCUUGAAUCCGGGAGAGGGAUGCGGAAUUCCAGGUGUAGCGGUGAAAUGCGUAGAUAUCGGGAGGAACACCAGUGGCGAAGGCGGCUUUCUGGACCAAUACUGACGCUGAGGUGCGAAAGCGUGGGGAGCAAACAGGGAUUAA
rnacentral:rRNA from 1 species